UCUAGUGGGUCCGGUUGGAGAACAAGUCCAUGAAGUCAGGCUGCCAGGACCCCACCUUCUGAUUUUUCAACUUCCUAGCUCUGUGACCUUGGGGCCAGCUCCCCCCUAGAUGCUGGAGAUGCAAAGAGGAGGAAGACUCAACCCUCACUGUAGAAGACAAACUCCUGAGCAGGAAUUAAGAGCUCGAGCAGAGUGAUGCAAAGAAGGAAACGAAAUCAGUUUGAAUGGACUCAUCUCCACAAUAACAGCGCCCAGGACUUCUCCUUCCUCGAGAACCUCUGGAGCUGUCAUGAUUCUUGCCUCUUCUGAGCCCAAUUCUUCUAAUAUUCCUCUGUCUUGUGAACCAUCCCAUGUCCUCCAACAAAUUUAUUUUGUCUUGUUUUUAUCAGAGAUUACAUCGGAUUCCAAGAUUAGACUGGUAUCCGAUAGCCUUAACUAGGUCAGCAUAGAAAAGCUCUGAAAGCAGCCAGGAAGGGAAAAGAUAGAUACGCCUGCCCUACGGAAGUCAUGAGCCAAGUGGUGGCAGUCUUAGCAUGAGGAGUCUGGAUAACCUCAAGUAGGUCAGGACAGAAAGUCAUACAAAAUAAAUCCUGAAGGGGGUUUUUAUCCUUGCCUGGUGAUUCUCAAUAUGUGGGCUAUGGAUCUCCAGGGUAUUAUACAGUCUGAAAAAACAAAGUCUAGAAGAAGCCCAUCUGUAGAUUGAAUGAAAAUCUGUGGAAUUACUGUCACGUGAUAUUCCGUGGAAACAUUUGAAAUGCACAAAGUCUUACCAUUGAAAAGGUAGUGAACAACUGGCCUGAGCCAGCAGUUCUCUACUGUGGAGUUAUGUUAAUAUUAGUUGAUGUGUCAACAGUUAUUGGUGCAUUGCUUCUGUUUUAAAUUAGAGCAGACUCAAGUCUGUUCUUUCUGUAAAUUCUUCUUGUCUAUUCACAUUCUGAUUUGUUUUCUCAAAUUGGAGAAAAUGGAGUGGGAUUUUAAGUGCUGCUCCAAGAAUUGUACCCAAGUCAUUGUCUUUUCUGUCUCCAUCUUGGAGCUCGGGGAGCCUCUGGUACUGGUGUGACACUGAUGAUU